rnacentral:rRNA from 1 species
AUUGAACGCUGGCGGCAGGCCUAACACAUGCAAGUCGAACGGUAACAGGAAGAAGCUUGCUUCUUUGCUGACGAGUGGCGGACGGGUGAGUAAUGUCUGGGAAACUGCCUGAUGGAGGGGGAUAACUACUGGAAACGGUAGCUAAUACCGCAUAACGUCGCAAGACUAAAGAGGGGGACCUUCGGGCCUCUUGCCAUCGGAUGUGCCCAGAUGGGAUUAGCUAGUUGGUGGGGUAACGGCGCACCAAGGCGACGAUCCCUAGCUGGUCUGAGGUGAUGACAAGCCACACUGGAACUGAGACACGGGCCAGACUCCUACGGGAGGCAGCAGGGGGGAAUAUUGCACAAUGGGCGAGAGCCUGAUGCAGCCAUGCCGCGUGUAUGAAGAAGGCCUUCGGGUUGUAAAGUACUUUCAGCGGGGAGGAAGGGAGUAAAGUUAAUACCUUUGCUCAUUGACGUUACCCGCAGAAGAAGCACCGGCUAACUCCGUGCCAGCAGCCGCCGUAA